rnacentral:rRNA from 1 species
UACAGAGGUCUCAAGCGUUUGUUCGGAUUCAUUGGGCGUAAAGGGCUCGUAGGUGGCCAACUAAGUCGGACGUGAAAUCCCUCAGCUUAACUGGGGAACUGCGUCCGAUACUGGAUGGCUUGAGUUUGGGAGAGGGAUGCGGAAUUCCAGGUGUAGCGGUGAAAUGCGUAGAUAUCUGGAGGAACACCGGUGGCGAAGGCGGCAUCCUGGACCAACACUGACACUGAGGAGCGAAAGCCAGGGGAGCAAACGGG